rfam:Picea glauca, whole genome shotgun sequence.
AUGUACAUUCCUACAACAUAGUGCUAAUGCAUCGAAUCCCAUUAGAGCUCCGCAGCUAAGAACGCUCAAUCUAGAGUAGUACUGGGAUGCGCGAUCACUCGAGAAAUCCUUAUGGUUUACAUG